rnacentral:lncRNA from 1 species
UGUCAGCGAGGGUCGAUGAAAAAGCUUCCUGUCAGAGAGCUUUAACUCACAGUUGUAUUUACCCGUGGCACAGUACUGACACCCAUCUAUCUAGGGUUAUAGGUUGGACCCCAAUCUAUUCAGACAGGGGUAUGUUAGUUAGAUAAUUACUUUCAACAGUCUCAGUUUCAGUUCCAGUCUCAGAAUAAAACUCAGUUUGGUUCUUCAAAUUUAGGAAUGUCAAAUACAUUUACUCAGUAUAGUUCUACAAGAUCAAGACUAUCAGUACAAUCACUCAAUUAUCAGC